UUUAUGGAGAGUUUGAUCCUGGCUCAGGAUGAACGCUGGCGGCGUGCCUAAUACAUGCAAGUCGAGCGAACGGACGAGAAGCUUGCUUCUCUGAUGUUAGCGGCGGACGGGUGAGUAACACGUGGAUAAACUACCUAUAAGACUGGGAUAACUUCGGGAAACCGGAGCUAAUACCGGAUAAUAUUUUGAACCGCAUGGUUCAAAAGUGAAAGACGGUCUUGCUGUCACUUAUAGAUGGAUCCGCGCUGCAUUAGCUAGUUGGUAAGGUAACGGCUUACCAAGGCAACGAUGCAUAGCCGACCUGAGAGGGUGAUCGGCCACACUGGAACUGAGACACGGUCCAGACUCCUACGGGAGGCAGCAGUAGGGAAUCUUCCGCAAUGGGCGAAAGCCUGACGGAGCAACGCCGCGUGAGUGAUGAAGGUCUUCGGAUCGUAAAACUCUGUUAUUAGGGAAGAACAUAUGUGUAAGUAACUGUGCACAUCUUGACGGUACCUAAUCAGAAAGCCACGGCUAACUACGUGCCAGCAGCCGCGGUAAUACGUAGGUGGCAAGCGUUAUCCGGAAUUAUUGGGCGUAAAGCGCGCGUAGGCGGUUUUUUAAGUCUGAUGUGAAAGCCCACGGCUCAACCGUGGAGGGUCAUUGGAAACUGGAAAACUUGAGUGCAGAAGAGGAAAGUGGAAUUCCAUGUGUAGCGGUGAAAUGCGCAGAGAUAUGGAGGAACACCAGUGGCGAAGGCGACUUUCUGGUCUGUAACUGACGCUGAUGUGCGAAAGCGUGGGGAUCAAACAGGAUUAGAUACCCUGGUAGUCCACGCCGUAAACGAUGAGUGCUAAGUGUUAGGGGGUUUCCGCCCCUUAGUGCUGCAGCUAACGCAUUAAGCACUCCGCCUGGGGAGUACGACCGCAAGGUUGAAACUCAAAGGAAUUGACGGGGACCCGCACAAGCGGUGGAGCAUGUGGUUUAAUUCGAAGCAACGCGAAGAACCUUACCAAAUCUUGACAUCCUUUGACAACUCUAGAGAUAGAGCCUUCCCCUUCGGGGGACAAAGUGACAGGUGGUGCAUGGUUGUCGUCAGCUCGUGUCGUGAGAUGUUGGGUUAAGUCCCGCAACGAGCGCAACCCUUAAGCUUAGUUGCCAUCAUUAAGUUGGGCACUCUAAGUUGACUGCCGGUGACAAACCGGAGGAAGGUGGGGAUGACGUCAAAUCAUCAUGCCCCUUAUGAUUUGGGCUACACACGUGCUACAAUGGACAAUACAAAGGGCAGCGAAACCGCGAG
rnacentral:rRNA from 1 species